rnacentral:rRNA from 1 species
ACGCACGCUGGCGGCGUGCCUAAUACAUGCAAGUAGAACGCUGAAGGAGGAGCUUGCUUCUCUGGAUGAGUUGCGAACGGGUGAGUAACGCGUAGGUAACCUGCCUGGUAGCGGGGGAUAACUAUUGGAAACGAUAGCUAAUACCGCAUAAGAGUAGAUGUCGCAUGACAUUUGCUUAAAAGGUGCAAUUGCAUCACUACCAGAUGGACCUGCGUUGUAUUAGCUAGUUGGUGAGGUAACGGCUCACCAAGGCAACGAUACAUAGCCGACCUGAGAGGGUGAUCGGCCACACUGGGACUGAGACACGGCCCAGACUCCUACGGGAGGCAGCAGUAGGGAAUCUUCGGCAAUGGACGGAAGUCUGACCGAGCAACGCCGCGUGAGUGAAGAAGGUUUUCGGAUCGUAAAGCUCUGUUGUAAGAGAAGAACGAGUGUGAGAGUGGAAAGUUCACACUGUGACGGUAUCUUACCAGAAAGGGACGGCUAACUACGUG